UUUCCGUAGGUGAACCUGCGGAAGGAUCAUUACCGAAUCGUCAAACACGGGUUGUUGCUGGCCCCCAAAAGGGGCAUGUGCACGCUCUGUUUACACAUCCACUCACACCUGUGCACCCUCUGUAGUUCUAUGGUUCGGAAGACCCCGUCUUCCUUCCGUAGCUCUACGUCUUUACACACACACUGUAGUGACGUCUCAUGGAAUGUUUUUAUGCGUUUAACGCGACACAAUACAACUUUCAGCAACGGAUCUCUUGGCUCUC
rnacentral:misc_RNA from 1 species